GGGCGAUUGGUUUAGUGGUAUAAUACCCCCUUAGCAUCAGCUGGUCCAAUAAGAGCAGUUAGACAGCGCGACUGGGGGUGGUCCAGGGUUCGAUUCCCUGAUCGUCCA
rnacentral:tRNA from 1 species